rnacentral:lncRNA from 1 species
UGCAGUGGCGCGAUCUCAGCUCACUGCAAGCUCCGCCUCCCGGGUUCACGCCAUUCUCCCGCCUCAGCCUCCCUCAGCGUCCGGAGUAGCUAGGACUACAGGCGCCCGCUACCACGCCCGGCUAAUUUUUUUGUAGUUUUAGUAGAGACGGGGUUUCACCGUGUUAGCCAGGAUGGUCUCCAUCUCCUGACCUCGUGAUCCGCCCGCCUCGGCCUCCCAAAGCGUUGGGAUUACAGGAGUGAGCCACCGCGCCCGGCCGGCUGGAGUGCAGUGGCAUGAUCUCGGCUCACUGCAACCUCCGCCUCCCGGGUUCAAGUGAUUCUCCUGCCUCAGCCUCCCAAAUAGCUGUGAUUACAGGGAACCCGUUGUUGCUCAGACACCCGAUGUGGAAAUUUUUCUUCUCCCUCAGUUCAAAUGAGAUAAAGAUCCUCCUCUCCUCACAGUGAACAUGAGGUCACAGUGUCCAUGUAACUAACUCCUGGUUAAGAGGAUAUGGAUAGAAGGCACAUGUUCAACUUCUGGCUUCUGUCCUUGAAAAGUGUGAUGAUUCCAUCCUUUGCUGUCUUCCUUCCCGCUGACUGGAAUGUGGACUUGGUAGUGAGCUACCUUGGACUAUGUGGAUGAAGACAAAGAUAAAAGGAACCAAGGACUCUGAUGAUUCUGUAGAGAAGAGGAACCGUAGCUGCUCAAACGUUCAUGUGAAAGAAGAAUAAACUAUCAGAUUUAAGCCACUGCUAUUUUGGGUCUUUGUGAUAAACAGUGUUUACCAUAUCCUAAUUCACUAUUCCUUCCAUUUCUAGGUCAACCAUGUUGAAUUAAAUAUAGUGCUCUAACUUGCA